CUGACUUUCUUGGCCUUUUGGCUAAGAUAGAGUGUAGCAUCUGUUCUUUUUGUUUGUUUGUUUAAGAUUUAUUUUAUUUUAUUGGAAAGGCAGAUAUACAGAGAGGAGGAGAGACAGAGAGGAAGAUCUUCCAUCCAAUGAUUCACUCCCCAAGUGGCUGCAACGGUUGGAGCUGAGCCAAUCUGAA